ensembl:lncRNA
CUCCAGUAUUCUUGCCUAGAGAAUCCCAUGGACAGAGGAGCUUGAUGGGCUAUAGUCUAUGGAGUCACAAAGAGUCAGACACAACUGAGCAACUAACACUUUUAGUUUUUCACUUUUCAUCAUCAGAUCGAUCAUGAUCGAUAUGUAUUUGUUGAGCUACCAACCUGUUUGCAAACAGUCACAAAAUCGAGAGUAGCUUCUGCAGUCGAAGUUUCUUACUCACCACGUAGUCAUGUACUCCUCUCUGCAGCCCUUCUCAGAGUGGCUGUCCUCCAGGGCCCUCUCAGGGGGCCUGGGCUGCGUCCAACUUGAGACUCUGCCAUCUUUUGGACUGAGUCAGCUGGCAGAUGCAGAGCAGAACGUGUCUAGUGGACACCUCGGUCUGGAAGGGACGCACGUCUUGCUCAUCCACCAUCCUUUGGCCAGAAUUAGUCACAUGACUCAUCAAGGGGAAGGGCAGCUGGAGAAUAGAGGGGUGAUCCUCUGUUAUAAGUGGAUGCAGCUAGGAUCGGCCACAGGCACCUAAAAGGACGAUGAGGAUGCUGAUGGGCAAAGACAUGGGUGGGGAAGGCAAGCAGAUAGCAUGAGCAAGGGCUGGGGGAGGGAAACAAGAAAUAAUAAUAACAAAACACUAAUGAUUUGGGGGCUUCCCUGGUGGCUCAGUAGUAAAGAAUCCGCCUGUCAAUGCGGGAGACACAUGAGACACGGAUCUCAUGCAUUACAGGAGGAUUCUUUACCAUCUGAGCCACCAGGGAAGCCCAUUGGUGGGGGAUCAGGUGUAAGAUUCCAGGCCCCAUGAGAUUUUAGUGGAAGAAGCUCAGAUGUGCUGUCUUAACCCUUGAAGAGAAGCUUGGCAGUCGUCACCUCCCCAGAAGAGGCAUAUUUAGCCUGAAUUAAACACCCCUGCCUGCUGGUUCCCAUGCAAACUGUCUUUGCUUGUUCUGUGUGUCUCUUUGUGUGCAUAUGUGUCUUUGCUUGAGCUGUUGCUUUCCUCACUUCACCCCUGUUACUCUGUAUUCUUUUCUGAAGAUUCAGCCAUUGCCUCCUCCAGGAAGCCUUCUUU